UAAUCUCUUUGGUUGAUUCUUAUAAGCUUAGGCCGGACAGUGGGCAGGGCUAGGUUUACUAAUAAUUCUUUUCUUUGAGCAAAGAUUGUCAACGAGCGUUUAAAGGUAAGGAGAAAAGUUUUGAGCACAGGCAGUGCUUUUUUCUCUAACCAAUAUUAACAAACAAUGUAGGAGAAAUAUGUUAGGUCUUCUUGUCUUCUGUGAGGAGGGUGGCAAUUUAUUGCAGUACUCUAAGAGAUUUCUUCCCAAAGAAAGUUUGACAUCUGUCCCAUGAAAACACAGAGAGUAGAGCAGACCAGAGCAGAGCAGAGCAGCACAGACAGAGGAAGCAGCAUCGACUGUAGUCACACGUCAGCCUGAGGCCCUGCCUCAGCUCUUAUCCAUCACGGGAAACUGUUUCUUACACUCCACCUGGAUUGUUUGCGUAUAGACGUUUCUCAGUGAUCCUUAAGUGCCCAGACAUCAUCUCAUCACACGCAGGGACAGGAUGGAAGUGGUAAUUACUAAGAUGGGCAGGGGUAAACGCCUGGUCUGUGUCACUUGUAGGUCAGUGAGGCGAGGCCUUAUUAGAGGUUCAGGUGUGCAGAUGUUUGCUUUGGUUUUCAGUUCAAAGACUGAAGGAGGCAGUGAUGUUUUUCUGAAGGAAAUUGAUUAGGUAUUAUAUACCAUCAUAUGACUGUAUAAACCAGUGGUUCUCAGCCCCCUAAUACUUUAGCACUUUAAUAUAGUUCCUCAUGUUGUGGUGACCCCCAGCCAUACAAUUUUUGUUGCUCCUUCAUAACUGUAAUUUCGUUACUAUUAGGAAUUGUAAUGGAAAUAUUUGGGGUGGGUGGAAGGUUGCCAAAGGGGCUGUGAGUCACAGGUGGAGAACAUUGGAAUAAACUAAGCCACUGUAUUACCUCGGACCGUGUCUUUUAAAAGACCUCUGGUGUUUAACAUCUCCUUUGGAGUUUGUGUUUGGACAUUUUGUCAAGGUCAAAGUUUUGUCUCUUAAAACCAGUCUUACUGCCUUGCUCUCCUUUGAUAUUUUCUAAUAGAAGAUUAAAGAAUCAUUAUCACAUCACUGCUUUAAAAAUAAUAUGCUUUAAACUUUUGAAUCAAUACUAUUUUCCCACCUUGAUUUUAAUAAUUACAGUGUCUUUUGCAAUGCUUUCUGUCAGUGUUGAUUGUGGGACUUUAGGGGUGCCAUUAUUGUAGAGGAGCUUCAUGGGAGCAGCUCGGCUGUGUGAAGUUAUUUUGCGUGUAGUAUAGGGAGAUGAGAGCCACCAAUCACGGCCCCUUGUCAGGGAAGACUUGUGCUGUGUGCAGCAGGCCUUGUCUAAAAUUCUUUGCAUUUCUCUUUUCCUUUGCUUCAGAGGAGUCCCAGGAAGGUGUUUUCCAAACUGUUUGAAGUCACUAGACGUCGAAUGGUUCAUCAUGCUCUUUCAUCAGCACAGCGACAGAGACUGUCAUCCAACAAUAACAAGAAGAAAAAUUAGACAGUAUUUUUAACUUUUUCUCUAUCUGAAGUGUUCACACUUAUACACAUAGGACAAUAAGCAGGACCGUGUGGGCCGGUCUGCAUAAUGCUGUGUACAUACCAGAUUUGAUGCUGCACAUAGGGUAUGGAUUGCACAUCCGUCUCAUAGGAUUUGUGAGUGGUUUGAAUAAGAGGAAAGUAAUUUUUGUUGCAUUAUAAAAUGUCUUAAUUGCAUUGUUUGUAACAUCAUAA
rnacentral:lncRNA from 1 species